UGUUGGUGAUUUCUUGUUAGCUAUCUUAGUUAUUCUCUUUGUUGUCUUGCAGGUGUUGUCUUUUUACCUGCAUUCUCUUUAAAGUUUCAUUUUGAGACCAUACUUAGCCUAGUUGUUAGGUUGGAGGCAUGUUCUGUCCUUAUUACUACCUUUAUAUUCCUAUGUUAGAAUUUCAGGAGGUGUAGUUCCACAUGUUUGCAGAACAUAAUCUCCAUAACUACUUUCCAGCUUGUUCAAACAUGCUCCAAUAAAUGAGAAUGAUGCUAGGUAAAAUACUUUUGUCUGAUGAGCUUCCAUCUUUUAUUUCUUAAUUUGUGUAAGAACUGAUUGGUCUCCUUUCCUU
rnacentral:lncRNA from 1 species